AUUGAACGCUGGCGGCAGGCUUAACACAUGCAAGUCGAGCGAGCGGCGGACGGGUGAGUAAUGUCUGGGAAACUGCCUGAUGGAGGGGGAUAACUACUGGAAACGGUAGCUCAUACCGCAUACCAUCAGAUGUGCCAAGAUGGGAUUAGCUAGUAGGUGGGGUACUGGCUAACCUAGGCGACGAUCCCUAGCUGGUCUGAGAGGAUGACCAGCAACACGUGAACUGAGACACGGGCCAGACUACUACGGGAGGCAGCAUUGGGGAAGAUUGCACAAAGGGCGCAAGCCUGAUGGAGCCAUGCCGCGUGGGUGAAGAAGGACGUCGGGUUGUAAAGCACUGUCAGCGAGGAGGCGUUACUCGCAGAAGAAGCACCGGCUAACUCCGUGCCAGCAGCCGCGGUAAUUC
rnacentral:rRNA from 1 species